UUGUGAUUUCUGCUUGCCCUCUGAGUUUGUUUGCUGGUCAACCUGCUUUGCUGCCUAUAUGGUUCUGUUUUUGUUUUUGUUUUUUUUAAAUAAUAAACUGCCUUAAAUUGUUCCCUCCCUGCCUAGUCACAGUCAAACUUGGGUCUUCCUCCUCUCCUGCUUCCGUGACACCCUACCUGGACAGUUUUCAUACAAUCUGUUGUUGAUCUGAGGGGUGUGUGUGUGUGUGUGUUAACAUUGUAUCACCUGUCUUAUUUGUGUUUGUGUAUGAGUUAUUAUUUCUGUACUGAUUUAGUAUGAUUUUUUCUUGAACAAAGGGAAAUUUCACACACACUCACACACAUACACACACACACAGGUACUUACUUCACCAAAACUUACUGGAAAAUAAUCAGCGUCAUUAUUAGGUUGUAACAUGUGGCCCAACUCUCCCCAUCAAACCCUAUUAAUGUCUGUACCCAACAACAGACUACAGUCAUGACCAGGCUAGUCGUCAGCUCACCCAAUGCCAGGCCAACUGUCUGCUUACAGUCUUUAUUUAUGGGAACAAUUUAAGGCAGAAGACAAAAACAGAACCAUAUAGGCAGCAAAGCAGGUUGACCAGCAAACAAACUCAGAGGGCAAGCAGAAAUCACAAUCUGUAAAUCAGGCAUUUUCUCCCAGAGAACUACUGCUCACUGGAUAUCUUCUCUUUUUGGACCACUCUCUUUUGAACUUCAGCAGGUCGUCUGGAUCAUGUCUACAGGCCUAAAUGCACUGAGUUGCUGCCAUGUGAUUGGCUGAUUAACAAGCAAUUGAACAGUGGAUCAGCCAUGGACAAAGGUUUGCUGCUGGUCCUGUUGUGUCUGCAGGUCGUCCUGCUCACCACAGUCUUCACUUCUGCUGAUGCAGCCGCUCUGCUGAGAGAUGAUCAGCAUCAACAACCUGUUGAUCCAAUGAGAAGUCUGCAGCAAAUGAAAGGAAGACGACAGACGGAGCAGAAACUUCCAUACUGGAUAUUCUGCGGGAGGAGACGAGGAGGAUGCACUUUGACAGGAGACCUGCCACGUCCUGGGAUCAUCUUUUGACCAGUUCAAGUCACAUUCAAUAGACAUCUUGAGUCAAGCUCUGCAGGAAAUGCCAUUAGAUGCAAAAGACAGCAAAUGAAUGAAGAUAAUUGUAAUGCUUACAAAAUAAUGCAAGUGCUUUUUAUUAGAAAUAAAAAUUUCAAAUCAGA
ensembl:lncRNA